rnacentral:rRNA from 1 species
GAUGAACGCUGGCGGCGUGCCUAAUACAUGCAAGUCGAGCGAACAGACGAGGAGCUUGCUCCUCUGACGUUAGCGGCGGACGGGUGAGUAACACGUGGAUAACCUACCUAUAAGACUGGGAUAACUUCGGGAAACCGGAGCUAAUACCGGAUAACAUGUUGAACCGCAUGGUUCAACAGUGAAAGACGGUCUUGCUGUCACUUAUAGAUGGAUCCGCGCCGCAUUAGCUAGUUGGUAAGGUAACGGCUAACCAAGGCAACGAUGCGUAGCCGACCUGAGAGGGUGAUCGGCCACACUGGAACUGAGACACGGUCCAGACUCCUACGGGAGGCAGCAGUAGGGAAUCUUCCGCAAUGGGCGAAAGCCUGACGGAGCAACGCCGCGUGAGUGAAGAAGGUCUUCGGAUCGUAAAACUCUGUUAUUAGGGAAGAACAAAUGUGUAAGUAACUAUGCACGUCUUGACGGUACCUAAUCAGAAAGCCACGGCUAACUACGUG